UACGUAGGGUGCAAGCGUUGUCCGGAUUCAUUGGGCGUAAAGAGCACGCAGGCGGUUUGGCAAGUCGGAUGUGAAAACCCGGAGCUCAACUCCGGACCUGCAUCCGAAACUGCCCGACUAGAGGUAGGUAGGGGAGAUCGGAAUUCCUGGUGUAGCGGUGAAAUGCGCAGAUAUCAGGAGGAACACCGGUGGCGAAGGCGGUUCUCUGGGCAUUACCUGACGCUGAGGAGCGAAAGCGUGGGGAGCAAACAGG
rnacentral:rRNA from 1 species